UAGUGUAUGCGCCAGAACUGGCCCAGAUGAGGAAAUAGUAUACCAGUAGUAAACACUAUUUAUAGCUGUUGGCCCGAGUGUAAGCAUACUCAGCUGAAGUCCGGGUCUACUAAAGUAGUGUCUCAGUGUAAUCGGGCCGAAUCUGGCAUUGUGUUGUCGGACCGACUACAUUGCAUUGUGCCUGGACCGAUUAUGGUUUGAUAUGAUACUGCCAAGAUGUGUAUGAUGUUAGAAAUUCAGUAUGUGUCCCGAUGCCAGUGCAACUGCCACAUGCCGGUUGUAACGCUGUUUGGCGGCAAUUUAAAAAUGUUUAUGCUUCAGACGUACAGUAUACAGUACACGGCCCGAUUCCGUGAUGUGGCAAUCAGCCCUCUAGCUGUUGAACGGCAACAUCACGACUGCUGUUAUGAUUUGAAUCAAGCAGAGCACAAAGCUGAGCUCCCGUUCGACACAGACACCAUCAUCAAUAACUGGUUAACUGGUUGGGGCUUAUUGGCGGGACAGAUGUACGAGACUGCACAUGGCAUUGAAGAGGGCGACUGACAACUCCCUGGCUUAAAACCUCAACUGGAUGGAAAAGAUUUUAUUUGCCACCCUCCAACUCAGAGAGGAAGUGAUUGAUGCAGUUCGGAGAAGGUCCCUUACAGUUGUGGAGGGGACAAUGAAGAGGUGGCUCGAUCGAGAGGGUGGGUGCAAGAGA